rnacentral:rRNA from 1 species
UACGAAGGGGGCUAGCGUUGCUCGGAAUCACUGGGCGUAAAGGGUGCGUAGGCGGGUCUUUAAGUCAGGGGUGAAAUCCUGGAGCUCAACUCCAGAACUGCCUUUGAUACUGAAGAUCUUGAGUUCGGGGAGAGGUGAGUGGAACUGCGAGUGAGAGGUGAAAUUCGUAGAUAUUCGCAAGAACACCAGUGGCGAAGGCGGCUCACUGGCCC